CCAACCUUUGUGUUAUGAUUCAGAUAUUGGCGUAAGAGCUCGUAGGCGGUUUGUCGCGUCUGCUGUGAAAGACCGGGGCUCAACUCCGGUUCUGCAGUGGGUACGGGCAGACUAGAGUGCAGUAGGGGAGACUGGAAUUCCUGGUGUAGCGGUGAAAUGCGCAGAUAUCAGGAGGAACACCGAUGGCGAAGGCAGGUCUCUGGGCUGUAACUGACGCUGAGGAGCGAAAGCAUGGGGAGCGAACAGGAUUAGAUACCCUGGUAGUCCAUGCCGUAAACGUUGGGCACUAGGUGUGGGGGACAUUCCACGUUUUCCGCGCCGUAGCUAACGCAUUAAGUGCCCCGCCUGGGGAGUACGGCCGCAAGGCUAAAACUCAAAGGAAUUGACGGGGGCCCGCACAAGCGGCGGAGCAUGCGGAUUAAUUCGAUGCAACGCGAAGAACCUUACCAAGGCUUGACAUGAACCGGUAAUACCUGGAAACAGGUGCCCCGCUUGCGGUCGGUUUACAGGUGGUGCAUGGUUGUCGUCAGCUCGUGUCGUGAGAUGUUGGGUUAAGUCCCGCAACGAGCGCAACCCUCGUUCUAUGUUGCCAGCGCGUUAUGGCGGGGACUCAUAGGAGACUGCCGGGGUCAACUCGGAGGAAGGUGGGGACGACGUCAAAUCAUCAUGCCCCUUAUGUCUUGGGCUUCACGCAUGCUACAAUGGCCGGGUACAAAGGGUUGCGAUACUGUGAGGUGGAGCUAAUCCCAAAAAGCCGGUCUCAGUUCGGAUUGGGGGUCUGCAACUCGACCCCAUGAAGUCGGAGUCGCUAGUAAUCGCAGAUCAGCAACGCUGCGGUGAAUACGUUCCCGGGCCUUGUACACACCGCCCCGUCAAGUCACGAAAGUUGGUAAACACCCGAAAGCCCGGUGGCCUAAUCCCUUUGUGGGGGGGAGCCGUCGAAAGUGGGAACCGGCCGAUUGGGGACUAAGUCGUAACAAAGGUAGCCCAAC
rnacentral:rRNA from 1 species